rnacentral:rRNA from 1 species
GACGAACCGUGCGAACGUUAUUCGGAAUCACUGGGCUUAAAGCGCGUGUAGGCGGGGUGGCACGUCGGGCGCUGAAAGCCCCCGGCUCAACCGGGGAAGGGGCGCCGAUACGACCACCCUGGAGGGACGUAGGGGGACCUGGAACUUCCGGUGGAGCGGUGAAAUGCGUUGAGAUCGGAAGGAACGCCCGUGGCGAAAGCGAGGUCCUGGACGUCUACUGACGCUGAGACGCGAAAGCUAGGGGAGCAAAUGGG